GGCUUACACUUGAUCUCUGAACUUCAGGUAAGUUUACUUGUUGACAAGUAUACAUUACUGAUGCU
rnacentral:ncRNA from 11 species